rnacentral:rRNA from 1 species
GUCCACGCCGUAAACUAUGGGCACUAGAUGGAUGUCGAGCUAUCGAUGUCUGUCGGAGACAAUUUGGUAAGUGCCCCGCCUGGGGAGUAUGGUCGCAAGGCUGAAACUCAAAGGAAUUGACGGGGGCUCACACAAGCGGUGGAGGAUGUGGUUUAAUUCGAAGCAACGCGCAGAACCUUACCAGGUCUUGACAUACCGGGAUUAUUUGUGUGAAAGCAUGAAAAUUCUCAGCAAUUAGGUAACCGGAACAGGUGCUGCAUGGCUGUCGU